UAGGUGGCGAGCGUUGUCCGGAUUUACUGGGCGUAAAGGGAGCGUAGGCGGAUUCUUAAGUGGGAUGUGAAAUACCCGGGCUCAACCUGGGUGCUGCAUUCCAAACUGGGAAUCUAGAGUGCAGGAGGGGAGAGUGGAAUUCCUAGUGUAGCGGUGAAAUGCGUAGAGAUUAGGAAGAACACCAGUGGCGAAGGCGACUCUCUGGACUGUAACUGACGCUGAGGCUCGAAAGCGUGGGGAGCAAA
rnacentral:rRNA from 1 species